GCUCAGUAACACGUGGAUAACCUACCCUUAGGACUGGGAUAACCUUGGGAAACUGAGGAUAAUACCGGAUAGGCAAUUAUUCCUGUAAUGGUUUUUUGUUUAAAUGUUUUUUCGCCUAAGGAUGGGUCUGCGGCCGAUUAGGUAGUUGGUUGGGUAAUGGCUUACCAAGCCGUUGAUCGGUACGGGUUGUGAGAGCAAGAGCCCGGAGAUGGAACCUGAGACAAGGUUCCAGGCCCUACGGGGUGCAGCAGGCGCGAAACCUCCGCAAUGUGAGAAUUCGCGACGGGGGGAUCCCAAGUGCCAUUCUUAACGGGAUGGCUUUUCAUUAGUGUAAAGAGCUUUUGGAAUAAGAGCUGGGCAAGACCGGUGCCAGCCGCCGCGGUAACACCGGCAGCUCUAGUGGUAGCAAUUUUUAUUGGGCCUAAAGCGUCCGUAGCCGGUUUAAUAAGUCUCUGGUGAAAUCCUGUAGCUUAACUGUGGGAAUUGCUGGAGAUACUAUUAGACUUGAGAUCGGGAGAGGUUAGAGGUACUCCCAGGGUAGAGGUGAAAUUCUGUAAUCCUGGGAGGACCGCCUGUUGCGAAGGCGUCUAACUGGAACGGUUCUGACGGUGAGGGACGAAAGUUAGGGGCGCGAACCGGAUUAGAUACCCGGGUAGUCCUAACUGUAAACGAUGCGGACUUGGUGUUGGGGUGGCUUUGAGCUGCUCCAGUGCCGAAGGGAAGCUGUUAAGUCCGCCGCCUGGGAAGUACGGUCGCAAGACUGAAACUUAAAGGAAUUGGCGGGGGAGCAC
rnacentral:rRNA from 1 species